UCCCCGGGUAUUCCUAGUGGCUGUGUGUUCGCUUCCUUCCGUUAAGCAGGUACCCGCAGCACGUUCCUUCCCGCAGUCUCCCGGUCCCCCGCACUCCCCGGCCGCUGAUCCCGGCUUGUGCUGAGGCCGCGGCGUGCGGGAGGAACCACCAGGUGGCGACCUCUCUCCGUGCUGCUGCUGCGGGCUUUGGUGGCUCUUCCACCCUUCGUUCAGAAGCAGGAGCAGACGCAGCUUGCUAGCUUGCUAGCUUGCUGCCUACCAGCACCGCUCAGUGCACGCUGGCAGAGCCGCCCCAUGUAUUGGAGGGGCAGCUUCCCCCUUUGCUGGAGGCACAGCAUUGCUGACCUCAUCAGGAUCCCACCUCGUGCACUGACAUGGAAUGAAGUCACCACGGAGCUGGGACCCGGCAGUGAGCUGCAGGGCUGUGUGUGACAAAGAGAGCAACCUGAAGACAGGGAAUUGCGAAACCUCAGCAACGUGCUUUGGAAAAAUACGUGGUCAGAGGGUGUAAAUAUGCAGAGGAGAAGGAAUGCUCAGUUUGGGAUGAGCUGCCCUGGUUCUGCAGCCCCAACCGCCAUCUGUUGCGCUGAGCUCCAUCUAGCUCAGGCCGUAGCUGCGCUCUCACCAGAUGUUAGCUUACAUGAGCUGCAUGUAAAAGUGAACUGGUGCGAGAGCUGUGGCCCGAUGUGUUUUCAGUAGGGUCUGACCUGCAGCAGUGACGACGUGCUAGCCGGCCUCUCGCUGCGGGGAUGCGCUCCAGGAGUCGCAGGGCUCUCACUGAGGCUGCAUCUUGCCUGCAGCGUCCUUCGGCACCGGUCCUCCAGAACAGGAAAGUGGGAAUAAAGCUACGAGCGCAGAGCUGGCUGCUCAUGGAAUAUCUGCAGUGUGAUUGGCACUAAUGCUCUGCAGCCAGUGGGAGAAGAUACGUUACCCAAGCUUGCAGAGCUUUGCCCACCCUUCUGGCUGAUGACAUGUUAAACGCUUGGUUUGCGAUCAUCAAUUUUCUCCUGAAAUGAUACCCAAAGCUCUGCUGUUUUGAUUUAAAGUGAUUUCAAGUCUUUUAGUUAACAGUUAAGGACGAUCCUGUCCAAGAGAAUCUAACUUGAGGAAGCCAUGAAAUUUAAUUCAUUUCUGCAACUUAAAUAUAUAAUCAGUGACAUAUGGGAAUACUAAAUACGGGGGGAAAUGUCAUUGCUUAAGUAAAAUUUCUGCGUUCAGUCAAAACCCAGCAGUUGUAACAUCAAACUGUAGUUUCCAUUGUACAGGAAAUAAAGCAUCAUUUCUUCAAAGAAAAUAGACAUGCAAUUGCAUGCCUGUUACGUUGCUUAUAUGGCUUUAUGCUUAAUUUUCUCCAUGUUGCAGUUAGUAAAGGGCCAACAGAAGAGAAACUGAAGGGAGAAGGAACAACACGACACACCGAGCCUACAGGAAAGUGCACAGGAGAUGGCUGUGCUGGGAACACAGGCUCUUUCCCUGCUGUUGUCUCCGUGCCUGGGCCACAGGGGCACUGUGCUCCAUGGGACCUUCCCCAGAGGAAGCUUUGCAGCUUAUGGUUACAUGAAAGAUUCUGAUUUUUUUCCUCCUCCCUCACCCCAGCAGUGUCUCCAAGAGCCUUUUGGCUGCUGCUUCUUCCGCUGAGCUCCAGCUCCUCAUUGGUCUCCGCACACAGCCCCUUCCUCUCUCUCUGUAAUUGCCUUGUUUGCUCCUCCAGCCUUGCACUUCAUCCAUCUUCCUAUUUCCCCUCUCUGAUCUACUCCUCAUGGCCGCUUCCUUCAGUUUUGCUGCUGGAAUGUGAAGCAUCUCUCCAGAAAAAUAGAAGGUCUCUGUGAACUUUUACCACCCCCCUGUAUUCCCUCUCCUUCACCUCUAUCAUCUCCUUGCAGAUGGUGGGACAAGCGCUCACAUUCGUUCUCAGGCUUGUAACAUUGGCGCAUUCCCUUCUCUUGCUUUUUUCACAUGAUGAUGUGAAAUGAGGAUAAUUCUGCCCAUUUCUCUGCUCCUCGGGGCUGGGCUCAAUUUGAGGAAAGUGCUUUUGAGGCUGCUGUGAUGCUUGGAGCGCUGCUGUUGCGUUUGUCCCCUGACUACGGCUAAUUGCGGCCACAUUUGCUUCUACUCAGGAUAGGAAAGACAAAAGCUGAAUCAGACGCAGCCAUCGAUUAGCACAGCUCUUGGGUCUGAAGGGCAUCAUCUGCCUAAAGGCAGCAUUAUUCAUCGAGAUAUUCCCUGCUGUUAUCUGCUUUUUUUCUUUUCCUUCUUGCUGAAGAGGCACUGGGCAAAGGGGAUUUCUGUCUGCUGGAAGGGCACCUGCCUCCCCAGCACAGCCUUGUGGGAAUCGCCCAUCUCAGCUUUCAGGAGCCCUGGAGCACCUGCUUGGAGGUGGGCACCUGGGAGCAACUUGUUCUCUCCAGGGGCAACCCUGCAGAGUGUGGGCCCCCACAUUGGUCAGACCACGCUCUGAAUCAGAUUGGGUGAAGGGAAGGAAGAAGAAGAGUUUAUUCUGCUGGUGCAGUGGUACCGAGCUGCUCAUGGCAUAAAGUUACACAAAGAAAAGGGAUACACAAUUCAUCAUCAACUGCCUAAAAUUCAGGUUUCUUUCUUCUGUGUCUUGUGUGUCUGCCUGCAAACCCACAGCCUUCAUGAGACUGGUGCCUCCUUUUUGUUCCCGUCCUUCUUUUUUAUAGCUCUCUUAGUUAGGCAGCUAAACGAGGGUGGGUUAACCCUUGAAGGAAAGCCCAACACCGCUGUGCUAUGGCCACAUUUGGAGGUACCACUCUGUGCUCCUUCCACGCUGGUGAUAAUGCAGACGCAGCAUUGCCAGAUGUGCUGUCCGGCCAGGCGGUCGUGGUGAUGGAUGCCCUGCUCCUUGCAUGCAGGAAGCUCUCCGUGGGUUUGCCUUCCGCAUGCUGGUGCAGGGCUCCCCCCAGCCAGGCUUCCUAGGGCAGACAGAUGGUUUUGCUUGUUACAGAGCUUCACAGGACACCUCCAUUAAAGAGCAAUGCGCAGAUACCGCACUAAAUCAAGCCGCUUGUCUGUUCACUCAGGUGAUACAUCGGCGUGGUAGGAAAUGGUUUCAGCAGCAGAGUUCACACUGUGCAACACCAACCUUUAGGCAUUGGUAACCUCAGGAGGUUGCAUUCCAGACAUUAGGUCUCUUGUGGUGAAAUAGAUGGACGCUGCAGUGCAGAAGCAAAAAAAAAAAAACUCAAUAAAAAGAACUGGCUGUGCUGUUACGGGGUCUGAUGGCCGCUUUUAGUGUCCUUGCUCCUCUCAGAAAUCAUUUGGGGAGAACAGAAAUCAUUUGGGGAGAACAGAAAUCAUUUGGGGAGAACUCGUAUGUCAGGCCAUGGUGCAGGGCAGGCGUUUAAGAGUCUGCAAAGAAAAGCUUUUGGGCAAAUUGUCUACGGAUAACAUCCUUUAUUUUCACUAGCUGAGUUUUCUCCUUGAUGGCUUCUUUGAGAGCAUCCAUAACUCAGGUUUACUUGACAGCAAUACAGAAACAGACAUGGUUGAUAUCUUGGGAAUCAAAGACAUGACGAUUUUUGUUUUUUAAAAAGGCUGUCUAGCUUGUUUUAUCCUUCCUAGCCUAAUGGAGGUUUGUUUGGUACUGCACAUCCUCUGACCAUAAUAACUUUCAUCCUUUAUGAGCAGACGUUUAUUUUCUAGGGAAUGCAAAACGUCCCUCCUGAGGAGGUUUUUCCUAUUUUCCUUUGGGCUGACAUACACAGCUGGAGACCUCCAUUUAAUUCAUCUUCUAGACUUAAUUUAUCUCGUGAUUCUUUAUUCCUUCCCUCUAUCAGCCCUGCCGCUGAAUCCUUCCACAGCCGCUCGGAUCAUUUACAACAGCCACUUCCACAGGCAGUAGCAAAGCAAAAAUCGAAGUGAGCACCUCUGAUAACAACGUUAGCUGCGGAUUUCAGUGUUUGUGAGCUGCAACUGGCUGGGGGGGGUGCCAGACAUUUGCAGACACACACAACAAGACAGGCCCCUGCUCUGAUCGGCUUGUAAAUUAAAGGAAAGCACAUUGGCAGGAGUAGAAGGGAUGAUACGACAUGCUUUAAAUAGUUUAUUGGGAGCUGGAGGAUUGCUGUUUAUUUGGUGACGUUGGGAAAAUAUUUAAUGUGCUUCGCUUAAACUUAAACUCUUUAUAGCAGUGCUUCUUCUCUUCUCCUCCCCCGGUUUUCUUUCCCAAUGACUGUUUUGGAGAUUAAAACCAGCACGUUGAGAGUAGACGGAAAAUAGAGAAACAUACUUCCAGAUCGACAGAACCGCGAGUAAAUUUUC